AAGUGUACAAGCAUAGCCUAAUGCCAUGAUGGGAACAAAAGUUCUUUGGUUUGGGUGAAGAGAAGCAGGCCAUAUCGAAAGACCCAGCCUGCAUAGGAAGUUCCUGAGUGGCAAAAGAACGGGCCAGGGCCCCAAGAAGGUAGAAAGAAAGGAGAAGGUGUCCUCUUGGACAAAGACACAUUAGGCAGGCUAGGUGGAGAUGGUAGGAAUGGCCAUAGCCCUUGCAGACCUUCCCCCAACAUACCCUGUCGGGUGCUGCAGGGAGGUGAAGGAUGAAAUGGUUGGCACAGAGAUUAAUCAGGCACAAGAGUUGAGCAGUGGUGUGUGCUCAGACCAUGAUGGAAAAGGUUUUGGGGGAUGCAGCGGUAGUAGAAAAAAGGCUACAGAAGAAGCUGGUGGCUUCAGAACAAGGCUCUGCAAGCAGUUGUUAAUGAGAAUGAGUGGCUGCAGGAAGAGCAUUGGGACACUGCAGAAGAGAAGGAUGGCCUCUGAGCUCUGGUGAGUGAGCUGGCUGGGGAGCUGGAGAUGCCGCGCGCCCAGGCUCUAUGAGUGCAUAGCCGGUGACAGCGACGAGAUGGUGAGGGAUGAAUGCUGGACAAGAGUAGAACUUGCCCCUGGGUUGGGCCGGAUUGUAAGGAGGAGGGUAUAUAACUGGGUGGCUUGGCCUGUGGCUGCAAAGCCUGGAGCUAGGCCAAAUUCAUGACCAAAUGAGCCCCACCUGAGAGGAAACAAGGGAAAACAGCAGCAAAAGUACAGAAGCAGACCUAGCUGUUCAGUAUAUGGCCUUGGGCCAAAACCUGGAGUCCAGGGUAGAACUGGGUUCUCCCACCGUCCCUAAGGAAGGGGACAUAGAAGACCAUAGAAACCCAAGAAGGGCAGGCCAAGCCGAAAUCAGGCUGAGGAAGAGCUCCCCACGAGGGUGGAAGGCCUUGUUACUGUUCAAGACAUUUUGGGACUUUGUUUGGAAGGAGCAUGACCCAGGAAGGAGUGGACUAAAGGACAGUCACCUGGUUGAAGGGCUGAGUUCCCAGCCGACAAACUGCAAGAGUGACUAUCAACGGGGUUGCUAGCCCAGCUAGAAAGCUGUGACAUGAGGCCUGGCCAGGAUCUAGUGGAGAUGUCUGGUGAACUGCCCGUGGACUCUGUGCCCAGCACCACUCCGAAAUUAUUCACUACCUUCAAAGAAACAGGGCACAGCUCAGCCUGUUAGUCUCUGUCCCAGCCACUUACACAGAUGUAUGCUGCAGCCAGCCCAGCUCAGAGAGCAGUGGGGACAGAUGAUCUCAUCCUGUCAAACCAAGCAACCCAUUGAGGCUUAGAUGGAAGAUCCCAUGCAUCUCCUGGAGAGGAUGUGUCCGGAAUCCUGGAGACUGUUUCCUGCAGGAGGUUUGAGCAGGGAGAAAUCACUCACUGUCAUGACCCAUGGGUCAUUAACCCGGGUCUGCAGGGUUCAUGGGAGCAGCCACACUCCAGCAGGCCACCUGGAAGCCUACUAACAACUGCUUACCUAGGACUUACGAAGUCCAGACCCAGUUUGAGGCUCCAUCCCUGAGGCCUACUGGCAGAGUCCCAGAGCAGAUAAUUGGCCCCCGGGACCUCCUUAAACCAACAGCAGGAACAAGAAGCUGUCUGAACACCCGAGCUCUCCUGUCUUCUGGACCAUGUGUUAGCUGUUCCUGCUCCCACUCCCCAGGCUUGAUUUCCUGGCAUCCUGACUCGCUGUCAUUCAUCUGAUUUGAGGAUCUGAACACAAUUUGGUCUUUUGCUUCUGCUCUUCCAGUAUCCUGACCCAGCUGACUCUCGACUCCUGUCUUCUGAGUGUGGACUCUGCC